rnacentral:rRNA from 1 species
UGGGGAAUAUUGGACAAUGGGCGCAAGCCUGAUCCAGCCAUGCCGCGUGAGUGAUGAAGGCCCUAGGGUUGUAAAGCUCUUUCACCGGAGAAGAUAAUGACGGUAUCCGGAGAAGAAGCCCCGGCUAACUUCGUGCCAGCAGCCGCGGUAAUACGAAGGGGGCUAGCGUUGUUCGGAUUUACUGGGCGUAAAGCGCACGUAGGCGGAUCGAUCAGUCAGGGGUGAAAUCCCAGGGCUCAACCCUGGAACUGCCUUUGAUACUGUCGAUCUGGAGUAUGGAAGAGGUGAGUGGAAUUCCGAGUGUAGAGGUGAAAUUCGUAGAUAUUCGGAGGAACACCAGUGGCGAAGGCGGCUCACUGGUCCAUUACUGACGCUGAGGUGCGAAAGCGUGGGGAGCAAACA